rnacentral:miRNA from 14 species
UAUUCCCAUUUUCAAGCACUGUAUUAUAUCAGUGUGGCCACUGAUAAUUAGCAGCAGCAGCAGCAGCAACAGCAACAGCAGCAGCAGCAACAGCAGCAGCAGCA